UUCCUCACACAUACAAGUCGAACGGUAACGCGGGGGCAACCCUGGGGACGAGUGGCGGACGGGUGAGUAAUACUUAGGAAUCUGCCUAGUAGUGGGGGACAACCCGAGGAAACUCGGGCUAAUACCGCAUACGACCUACGGGAGAAAGCGGGGGACCGUAAGGCCUCGCGCUAUUGGAGGAGCCUAGGUCCGAUUAGCUUGUUGGGGGGGUAAUGGCCCACCAAGGCGACGAUCGGUAGCUGGUUUGAGAGGAUGAUCAGCCACACUGGGACUGAGACCCGGCCCAGACUCCUACGGGAGGCAGCAGUGGGGAAUAUUGGACAAUGGGCGCAAGCCUGAUCCAGCAAUGCCGCGUGUGUGAAGAAGGCCUGCGGGUUGUAAAGCUC
rnacentral:rRNA from 1 species